GACGUAGGGCGCGAGCGUUGUCCGGAUUUAUUGGGCGUAAAGAGCUCGUAGGCGGCUUGGUAAGUCGGAUGUGAAACCUCCAGCUCAACCUGGAGUCGCCAUCCGAUACUGCCAUGGCUAGAGUCCGGUAGGGGCCCACGGAAUUCCUGGUGUAGCGGUGAAAUGCGCAGAGACCCGGAGGAACACCAGUGGCGAAGGCG
rnacentral:rRNA from 1 species